rnacentral:tRNA from 1 species
GGGGGAUUAGCUCAGCUGGCUAGAGCRCCUGCYUUGCAMGCAGGAGGUCAUCGGUUCGACUCCGAUAUUCUCCACAA